UCAUAUUAGACAUAUUCCAAAUAACUUCUUUACUUUGGCACUAUGUAUGCUUUGGCCAAGGAGACGAGCACAAUAGUGGAGAUUGCCUAUGAUCCAAAGAUCUUCCAUACAAAAGACUACAUUCAAGCUCUGGUAUCUUUUGAAACAAAGAAAUCGACAAAGCUUCUCAUAAAAUGGCUGUUAAAAAAAGGAGUUACGGUCAACAUUGAGUUCGAGUAUGAGCGUAUCCAUAAGCGUUGUUUUCACUGCCUCUGCCUCACCCACGAGAAACUGAAGUGUCCACUUCUCAUGAAGGGCCCCAAGAUUUUGAAGGAGUCUGAUCCGAGGCUUGAGCUUAUGCAUAUUUCCUUAUCUGAUAAGGUGGAAAGUAGUCAGAAGAACGCUCUUACUAAUGGCCCUCCAGGCUUCCCUCAGCUCUUUCCUGAGCUACCUCCACAGGAACAGAUGAUGAAUAUGCUAUAUGUUUCACACUCUGAUGAUGCAGAACGCCAUGCAAGCAUCUUUCUAGUGAAACAAUCACUUGCUGAUCAAGGAAAAUUGCAUGUGGCAACUCUUACUAGACUCACUUCUGACUUGGAUAAGGGCAAGGGACAUGUCUUCUCAUAUACUAAAAAUAAUUCGGUUGAGAAGCUAUCUAAAAUCCCAAGAGCUGCUCAGUCAUUACCAAUACAAACUCAGUUUCAUUCUGAGGAUGAAAAAUUGGAUUCAGCUUUCUCUGCAAUGGUGGGAUGCUCUGACUCUGCUGUCUCUACGUCUUUUCAAGUUGGAACAUCAUUAGAUCCUCCCGCCUGUGAUAGAAGAGUGGGGAAAAUGUCUCGUUGUAGGCCUCCAUCUUGGAAGAUAAAGGCUCAAGCCGUGAAAGCAGUGCCUAAUCGUCGUAACACUGCAGCAAGUUCGCUUACACUAAAGGAGAAUGGUGGGAAGAGUAAACCAGACUCUCUGAUACAUCCGCGUAAGCUAGGAUGAUGAGAUGGUCGAUGAAAUGGCGAUGGUCGGGAAAUCGGUAGAGAUGGAGGUGGUUAAUGGAUGAACUACUGUCCUUUCAUAUCCAAGAUAACCUGAAAUAAAGGAAGAACAAUGAGUUUAUUAUGAAUGAUAAAAUAAUUAACAAAAACUAAAGAGAUAAAGGAUGGAAUGGUUUGAUGGAUAGAAGAUGAUGAUUGAUGAUGGAUAGUUGAUGAUUGACUCUCUCAAUUUGUGAGUUUUAUUGACUCUCUCAACCUGUGAUCUUCAAGGCUCCUGAAUCACUCAAUGAACCUAUGAACCACGAGCUUUAUAGCUUUCUAAUAUAUCUCACACUUAGAAUCUAAAGAACACUCAAAGAACACUCUUUUACUGAAAAUACAUAUGUAUGCUUUUUAUUGAUUGAAAGGUGAAUCUAAAAUGCACAAAUAAGUCUGCUUAGUUUGCUGAUGUGCAAAGCAACCGCAGAGGAGGCUGGUGAGAUUUUAAAUUAUUUAAAACUGUCUGGUGAUGCUUCUGGUCAUGUGGUCAAUUCGCAAAGGUCUUCGGUUAUAUUUGGCUCCAAAGUUCCUUUACCUACCAAGAUAACAGUCCAGUUGGUUUUAAGCAUAGAUGAGGAAGGAGGUGAAAGUAUAUACAUGUCCAUGAUGGAAUGUUUUAGUGGUUUUAAGAGGCAAAUGUUGUUCAUCAAGAAACAAAUUGACCAGUUGUACAGGUAAAAACGAUAAUGUCUCGAUUUUUUUUGCAAAAUAUAAUUAUGUAAUUAAUAAUAAAAAAUAAAUAAACAUUAAAUAAAAUUCAGAAACUUAAAUUAAAAAUCAAAAACUUAAAUUAAAAAAUCUAAAAUUGAAUAAAAUUCAGAAAAUUAAAUAAAAAUCAGAAAAUUUCCAAAAAGUAGAAGAUUAUUUGUCAAAACAUGUGUUAUUUGUCAAAAUAUCAUUAUUGACAUAUCUACCGUUUUAAACGAUGAUUGUCCAAAACAUGGCUAUUGACAUAUCUAUUGUCAUUUUCAAAAACUAUCAUUAGAUAUAUGUCAAAACUAUCUUGUUUGGGCCUUAUAGGCCCAGUUUAACUCGAAUCCAGAUCUUGUUAGACAUCCUUAGACGAGGACGACGAGAGAGAACCAAUCGGAGCUUGGAAGGGUUGAGAGUUGAGCGAGCGAGAGAUGAGCAACUACGCGAUUCCACUUUCUUCUUCGUCCUCUCUCUCCAAUGCCUAUCAUCAACCUUCUCGUGUUUGCUUCGUUUUCCCCAAUCCUCGUUCCAAUUUUGAGUUUCGCGGGACGCGACUAAGUGGUGAGGUUCAAAGAACCUCUUUAAAGUGCAAUUGCUGCAGCAAAGGGAAGGGAGGUGAAAACGAAAA